rnacentral:rRNA from 1 species
GACGUAGGAGGCGAGCGUUGUCCGGAUUCAUUGGGCGUAAAGAGCACGCAGGCGGUUUGGCAAGUCGGAUGUGAAAGCCCGGAGCUCAACUCCGGACCUGCAUCCGAAACUGCCCGACUAGAGGUAGGUAGGGGAGAUCGGAAUUCCUGGUGUAGCGGUGAAAUGCGCAGAUAUCAGGAGGAACACCGGUGGCGAAGGCGGAUCUCUGGGCAGUAACUGACGCUGAGGAGCGAAAGCGUGGGGAGCGAACAGG